rnacentral:rRNA from 1 species
UGAGUUUGAUUCCCGGCUCAGGAUGAACGCUAGCGGCAGGCCUAACACAUGCAAGUCGAGGGGCAGCGAGUCUAGCUUGCUAGAUGUCGGCGACCGGCGCACGGGUGCGCACCGCGUAUGGAACCUACCUUGUACAGGGGAAUAGCCCAGGGAAACUUGGAUUAAUGCCCCGUGGUACUGUUGAUCGGCAUCGAUCGGCAGUUAAAGCCUUCGGGCGGUACAAGAUGGCCAUGCGUCCCAUUAGCUUGUUGGUAAGGUAACGGCUUACCAAGGCUACGAUGGGUAGGGGCCCUGAGAGGGGGAUCCCCCACACUGGUACUGAGACACGGACCAGACUCCUACGGGAGGCAGCAGUGAGGAAUAUUGGACAAUKGAGGAGACUCUGAUCCAGCCAUGCCGCGUGCAGGAAGAAUGCCCUAUGGGUAGUAAACUGCUUUUAUACGGGAAGAAAAAGAGCUACGUGUAGCUUACUGACGGUACCGUAAGAAUAAGGACCGGCUA